AUGAUUUUGCUUCUUUGUGUUCUUUUGAUCUUCUUUUUCAUUUUUAUUUAUGCUUACCCCCAUUUGUUUGUUUCUUAUUUUCUGUGCCAGAUACCUUUGCACUUGAAGCCUAUAUAUGAGAAGCACAAAAAUCUCUAUACGGCAGAGUUGAAGAAUGUUGUUACCUCUUUUGGGCAGGUCCUGCAGUCAACUUUCUGCAAGCGGUUGGGUCUCAUGUUGAUGGAAGUGCACUCCAAUGCAGUGUCAAACCAUGAGCACAGGAGUGAAGGUUUUGUCGCCCCAAGAGUCAUUGCAACAAGCAGUGUCGAGCGCACGGAAGCGGUGACUUUUGGCACCCCAACAGCCACUGCAGCAGGCAUUGCUAUCCACUCUUCCAAGUGUCCAUUAUCGGAUCCUGAUUCCCGGGCAGAAGCAGGUGCUGAUGAUCAGAACAAGGCACAACCUGGUGGUGUAGUCGCUGCUCCCAAAGUAGUGGAGACCGGUGCAUUAGGUGAGAAGGUUGGGGUGGAAGCGGAAUAG
rnacentral:rRNA from 1 species